rnacentral:rRNA from 1 species
AUACGGAGGGUGCAAGCGUUAAUCGGAAUUACUGGGCGUAAAGCGCGCGUAGGCGGUUUUGUAAGUCGGAUGUGAAAGCCCAGGGCUCAACCUUGGAAUUGCAUUCGAAACUGCAUGACUAGAGUAUGGGAGAGGGAAGUGGAAUUCCAGGUGUAGCGGUGAAAUGCGUAGAUAUCUGGAGGAACAUCAGUGGCGAAGGCGACUUCCUGGACCAAUACUGACGCUGAGGUGCGAAAGCGUGGGGAGCAAACAGGAUUAGAAACCCUUGUAGUCC